rnacentral:rRNA from 1 species
AGUUCGGAUUGUAGGCUGAAAUUACGCCUACAUGAAGCUGGAAUUGCUAGUAAUGGCAGGUCAGCAUACUGCCGUGAAUACGUUCCCGGGCCUUGUACACACCGCCCGUCACACCAUGAGAGUUGGGAAUACCCGAAGCCUGUGAGCUAACAGUAAUGAGGCAGCAGUCGAAGGUAGAAUCAAUGAUUGGGGUGAAGUCGUAACAAGGUAGC